rnacentral:rRNA from 1 species
AUUGAACGCUGGCGGCAGGCCUAACACAUGCAAGUCGAGCGGAUGAUGGGAGCUUGCUCCUGGAUUCAGCGGCGGACGGGUGAGUAAUGCCUAGGAAUCUGCCUGGUAGUGGGGGACAACGCUUCGAAAGGAACGCUAAUACCGCAUACGUCCUACGGGAGAAAGCAGGGGACCUUCGGGCCUUGCGCUAUCAGAUGAGCCUAGGUCGGAUUAGCUUGUUGGUGAGGUAAUGGCUCACCAAGGCGACGAUCCGUAACUGGUCUGAGAGGAUGAUCAGUCACACUGGAACUGAGACACGGUCCAGACUCCUACGGGAGGCAGCAGUGGGGGAUAUUGGACAAUGGGCGAAAGCCUGAUCCAGCCAUGCCGCGUGUGUGAAGAAGGUCUUCGGAUUGUAAAGCACUUUAAGUUGGGAGGAAGGGUUGUAGAUUAAUACUCUGCAAUUUUGACGUUACCGACAGAAUAAGCACCGGCUAACUCUGUGCCAGCAACCGCUGUAAUAC